rnacentral:rRNA from 1 species
UACGUAGGGGGCAAGCGUUGUCCGGAUUUAUUGGGCGUAAAGAGCGUGUAGGCGGCCUGACAGGUCUGCUGUGAAAACUCGAGGCUCAACCUCGAGAUGUCGGCGGAAACCGUCUGGCUAGAGUCCGGAAGAGGAGAGUGGAAUUCCUGGUGUAGCGGUGAAAUGCGCAGAUAUCAGGAAGAACACCUAUGGCGAAGGCAGCUCUCUGGGACGGUACUGACGCUGAGACGCGAAAGCGUGGGGGAGCAACAGG